CAGAGUUCAUGCCCGAAAGGGUAGACCUCCCACCCUUGUGUAUUUAUACUUUGUUGCUUUGGCGGGCCGCCGCAAGGCUACCGGCUUCGGCUGGUGCGUGCCCGCCAGAGAACCUUCAAACUCUGAAUGUUAGUGUCGUCUGAGUACUAUAUAAUAGUUA
rnacentral:misc_RNA from 1 species